rnacentral:rRNA from 1 species
AACGAACGCUGGCGGCAUGCCUAACACAUGCAAGUCGAACGAUUGCCCUCGGGUGAUAGUGGCGCAUGGGUGGGUAACGCGUGGGAUUCUGCCCUUGGGAUCGGCAUAACAGCUGGAAACGGCUGCUAAUAACGGAUGCUAUUGCGAGAUCGAAGCUGUAUCGGCUUAGGAUGAGGUCGAGUGUGAUUAGGUAUUGGGUUGGGUACAGGCCUACCCAGCUGACGAUCCAUGGCUGGUCUGAGAGGAGGAUCAGCCAGACCGGGACUGAGACACGGCCCAGACUGCGACGGGGGGCAGCAGUAGGGAAUAUUAGACGAUGAGCGCAAGCCUGAUCCAGCAGUGCCGCGGGAGUGAUGAAGGCCCUAGGGUUGCAAAUCUCUUUUACCCGAGAAGAGAAUGACGGUACCGGGAAAAGAAGCCCCGGCUAACUACGUG